rnacentral:rRNA from 1 species
UGGGGAAUAUUGCACAAUGGGGGAAACCCUGAUGCAGCGACGCCGCGUGAGCGAUGAAGUAUUUCGGUAUGUAAAGCUCUAUCAGCAGGGAAGAAAAUGACGGUACCUGACUAAGAAGCCCCGGCUAACUACGUGCC